rnacentral:rRNA from 1 species
GUCCGCAACGAGCGCAACCCCUAUUGUUAGUUGCCAUCAUUCAGUUGGGCACUCUAGCGAGACUGCCGGUAAUAAACCGGAGGAAGGUGGGGAUGACGUCAAAUCAUCAUGCCCCUUAUGACCUGGGCUACACACGUGCUACAAUGGUUGGUACAACGAGUUGCGAGUCGGUGACGGCGAGCUAAUCUCUUAAAGCCAAUCUCAGUUCGGAUUGUAGGCUGCAACUCGCCUACAUGAAGUCGGAAUCGCUAGUAAUCGCGGAUCAGCACGCCCGCGGUCCGAAUACGUUCCCGGGCCUU